GCUGGCAGCGCUGUGCCCGGCCAUGGCAGCAGCCACACGCAUCCGCUGCCCUGGCUUCUUGUGGUUCGCAAAGCCAGAUCCUGCAAAUCUCCAUGAACGCUCCCACUAAAUUCUGAGGGCAUUUUCGCGUGUGAGACUUAACUCGCCUGCAGAAGUAUUCCCAGAACUAGGCCUCGCUUGAACUAUCCAUGGCAGCCUGAGUUUAACUGGCUCCUCAUCUAAAAACCAGUUGUUACCCACACAUUGCAUCCCAAACUGCUGCAGCACCACCACACCACCUACUCUGUGACCGCAGAGCGUCCCAGCAGAGCCCUGGGACAAGUUUCCCUCUUCUGUGUUGCUUUUCACACCACCUAUUAUAAUAACAGCAAGUUACAACAUCACCAAUGCACAGGUAACUAGCACAGCGGAGUCCGUGAAGGGAUGCAUGUAGCAGGGCUGAAACUAAUUUAAUUUUUUUGCAACUGCCUCUGUUCAGCCUUAAUAUUAGCAUUAAUACUUUCAUUUUCCUCAUUUAAAUACAAUAAAAGGGAAAAUUGCCUUUGCUUAAUAUUGUUACUACUCAGGUUUUGCAAUUCCAGUUUUUAUAAAGCGAUAAAGUCAGGGAGAAGUUAGUGUACACCUUUUCUGCUGCUGGACUCAGUGCCCUCAGCAGCAGCUAUGGUGGGAUCACCUACUGCAGCUGGGAAGAGUUGGGCAAUAAAGAAGUCAUUCUUGGAAUAUCCUACAGUCCAAGUGUCAUUUUCAGAAGCCUGAAAUUGAAAGCACUGGGUUGUGAGUUGUUUUUUUUUUUAACCCAAGCUACUCAGGAUGCUGUCUGGCUUGGCUAGAAGGACAAGUUCACUACACGUUUCUGUUCUGGAAUCAUUUUGAACUGCUUUUAGUCUAAAUUCUUGCCUGUCUUAACUUUCCUUUCUCAGCAGAGUAUAUUACUGAUACAUGUUUUUGGUAGACUUGAAAAGCAGUGUGUACAGCUUGAUUGUUGUCUGUAUUUCGUCAUUCAUUUUUAAGUGAGGCUCUUUUGAUUGAUGUUAGGAAUUUGUUUGAAGGGAUGAAGGAUAUGCCAAGAUGCUACGUAAAAUUGCACCCUACCUCAGCUUACAGAGAUUUUUCAUUGUGAUUGUCACACUUUUAAAAGCGCGUGAGUUAAUCAAAUUGCUAUUUUUGGAAUGCACUUAAAGGAACAUUAAAAUGCAUUAAUUUCAUUAAAAUAAAUGAGCAGAUAGGUAACAAAACAAGUAUCAGCCAAAUAAGCAAGAUCUCAACUAUGAAGCCAAAUCCAGCCCUAGUGAAAUCAUCUGAGUUGUGCUUGUCUACAGCACAUUUAAUUUGGCUUCUGCAGUCACACAGCUGACGCUUUAUUUGGUUUUCAGAGGUGUGGAUAUUAAAAAUGUGCGAGCCAUGCUGCUUAACCACUGAAGUGAAAUUCACCUGGUUCCCAUUUAGCUCUGCUGUGCAGUGCUGUCACACAUGUAGUUCUUGGUGUGCAUACACACCUGAGAUGCAGAGAGGUAUUCCCAGCCCCUAUGUCAGUCUAAGGGAUGUGAAUGGAAUGUGAAGUGAGGGUGUGCUGAGGUGGAUUUCAGCAGAGGCUGGUCACAACCAGCUGCAUAUAUGUGCUCCAGUUAAUAGGCUGUACUGGAGUCUGUGCUACCAUCUCUCAUUACUGCUGUUACUCAUGCCAGUGAGAGUAAAGGAGGGGUUGGUGUGUCUGUAAUCACAUAUUAAUUUGCUAUGUAGAUAUAUCCUAAGAACCUCUCAGCCCAGGAAAAUUAUGCUGGAAUAAGGUCGGAUGUGAAUGUAAAGCAGAACUGUGUUCAGUUUAUUCAUUCUGGAAUGACCGAGUUGUUUCCUGGUUUCACUUAAUCCACUUUCAAAGUGGAUUAAGGUAAUUCAAGAAACUGAAUUCUUACACUGGCGCAGGAGUUGUCUACACAUGGGUUUAGUUGAACAUAAUUACUGCAGUGUACCUAAUAAGUGUCUUGAAAUAACUUUGUGUGUAGACGAGUCCAGAGUCCCACCGGUGAAAACAACAGAAUUUAGUCAUUUUGUAUAACAGGAGGUUAAUUUAGCCCAACAUUUGAUCUACUUCUUUUCUCAUGAAGCAUAUUUAAUUCAUGACAGGUUUUUUUGCUUCAAUGAAAUCCCCACAACAGAAAUGUAUUUAUGAUCAGUGUCAAGAUAGCAAUGCCAUGUGCACUUCACUAAAAAUAAACAAUUUAACCAGUAUAUACUCUAAAUACCUUCUCAACUGCCCUAAAGAGGAGAAAAGGUUCUUUACUGGAAGAAAUACCAGCUUCUCAAUCAUAAAUAUUUUAAAUGGGCUGUUCCAACAAAAGGUAAACAAACCCCAAAGCUCUGCUCUGUCCUCUGAGACACAAUCCAUUUGACUGCAUUCCAUUCAUAGCAAUAGCACCCAGUCUGACUCAGCAAUAUUAGUUCCUGAAUGAGGAACCUCACAAACUCACACAGAAGGGUUUGCAGAGCAAGAGGGCCUUCAGGAGGCACCUUAAGAAGAGAGAGCUAAUUUGUAGUUUGCUUACAGAGGUCUGAAUUGGGGAGAAAAUACCUAAAACCCAGGCAGGCUCUCUGCCUCUGCUCUGAAUCCGGUGUAUUGCAUCACUGGCAAUGCAGGAAAGUGACUGAACUGAUAAUGAGAAUGUAUAAGGUGUUUUGUGACAUUGUGCCAAGCACAGAGUUUGUCAAGUAUCAUUCAGUGUCAUUCCAUGCCACAGACAUCGACUCUCUAAUGUGAAUGAAGCCUCCUAAACUUUAAAUUUAAAACUGUUUGUUGGUUUGCUUUUGUCAAAGGAAAUGGCGAGGAGGAGGGGAUGGAACCAAAAAAAACACUAGAUGAGGUAGAAAUUAUGUAAACUCUGGUAGUAAACAAGCCAAUUUUUUAAAAGAAGCAUAAAUAUAAAAGCCAAAUGAUACAAACUGCUGACCCUUUAAACAUUGACAUAGGAAAAGCCAUUAAAAGCUAUGAAGAUGAAAAAAUCCAACUUCUACUUUGUGUCAAGGACUGCAAUGGGUCACACAUUACAGAGGGUAACCUGGAGUCUUCCCUUACACAGAUAAAGUAGUCCCAGCUACUCUGUAACAGGCAAGGAUGCCCACAGGAUUCUCAUUUUGUGAUUACAAGCAUGGCUUUGCCCUCCUGUGCUUGUCUUGGUUAAGGAUAUAGGAAAUGGAUUUCAUCUACAACCCACUUAUGCCAAACCUGUUUAUUUAAUUAAGAAUAAUUCUGGUAACAAAAUAAGCAUUGACUGAAGAAGGUAAACAUGGAGAAACAUAAACAAGAAAUCAAGUGCUUAAAUUCUGUGGUGCUGAAUGACUUUGACCAUGGGUCUUGAUAUUGAGGCUCAAAUAUUAAGCCCGGUAUUAAACUCAGAUUGAAGGCAAUGAGAGUUUUAUAGGAACAUGCCUGAUAUGAAAUCCUGCUUGAAUAAAAAAAUGAAUUGGAUUAUUGUGUGCUCUGCUUCCACUGAGAGAUCUCUGAGUGUGGGAUCCACCUGCAGUGCUGGGGUAUCCUGGCUCUCCCCCACUCCUGUCAUUACAGGGGCAUUACUCAUCCAGAGAGGAAGGUGUCCUAAAUUCCCAAGACGAUUGGCACAGCACACACAAGAGGAAAUCUCAGCACUCAGCCAAUGCCAGGCAAUGAAGGAUCCUCUCUGGGAGUUGGAGGCUACAGUCAUGCUCUCUGCUGUUUCCCUUCUCUUGUCUGAAUAACCUUAAAUACUGAUGGUACAUCUUCAAAAGGAGAGUGGAAGCAGCCUGUGCAUGGAAUAGUUUAUAGACUGGAAGAAGAGCAAACGCAAAACCUUUCAUCCCUGAACUUGAAUUCUCCAAGUGCUCUGUUGUAUAUAAUGACGGAGGAACUAAUAUUGUUGCAGUAGAGAAGAAAGCAUCCAAGACACUCCAUUAUGGAACCCCAACACUGUUUGUAUUCAUUAUCUUCCCUGAGGUUGCACAGCUUCACCUGGCAUGUUAAGUAGGUCAGUGUUGGGUCUUAAAUAAUUUUGGAUGCCUCAACUCCAUCUAGACCCUGCUUGAAGCCCAUAGACAUUACCCAGCUUUAAGAGUUCAGUGAGUCUUCUGACUUUUCAGAAUGUGUCAGUACAUCUCCAGGCACUCACAAAAAGCUGUGCUUGCAAAGAUGGGAUAGAUACAGUUAGAAAAUGGUGUACAGGAGCAUAUAGGAAGGCCUCUCUAAGCAUCAGCCAGGGUGACAAAGCAUGCUGGCCCAUGGGUUCCCAGGCUGUAUUCACAGCCCUGGAAUGCCUGCUGGAAACACUCCCCUGUAAUUUAGCUCAUUUGGUGUGCAUUAAGGAUGCUCAUUUCUAGACCCCUGAGUGAAAUGUGAUACUGAACUCAUUCUUCCUCUUACACCAACAGGCCUCAGGAGAUGGCCAAGAGGCCGAUGGGAAGGAGGGAACACCAGUUUUAAUCCAGUUGUUCAUGAUGGAAAACUAUGAGAAAAGUGAAAAGAUCUUAUUCCACAGACCAAGGCAUUUACUUAUAUUUAUCUGCCUAACCUCAGUCAGAACCCUGAAUUCCAUUACUCUAUGUGAAUGUUAUGGUAUGGUCUUAUUUGGUAAUUACCUGGUCAGAGCCACAGACAAUAUGCAGCUAGUGAAAGCCUGGUGGAGGCAUACCAGUUUCUACCAGCUGAGAAUCCAAUCUUCAAUUUCAAAUUAAAAUAUUGAGAAGUUGCAUUUUCCAUGGCAUUUUAGUCAUAUUAUACAGAGGGGGAAAAAAAAAGGCAAGAAAAUAAAAAAUAAAGUUGUAGCUAUUUAUAUAACCAGGACAGAAGCAGAACCAAUGUGAAAUCUUUAGCAAUGAAAUUGUACAUCCAAAUUAUUAGGUAUUUCAGUGUUGGUGCCAUUUGGAUUACUGCUUAACUUUAGGGCAGCAAGGUAAGCUCAUUUUCUUGCCUCUGUCUUUUCAGCCACCAUUAGGGCUCCCUUCCCAUCCUCCAGGGAGAGGGAGAGAAGUUACACAAUGGGUGUUUUUCCAUGGGCGGAUGUCUAAAUGUGAAGGGAAACAAUUGAAUUUUAAUGACAAUUUUGAGACUCUUGAAGUUAAUUUCUGGGCAGUGCAGAAAUUAGUGGGGCUUGCUGCUGCCAAGAGCUGCAUGUUCUCCUCUCCUUCUGAUGUUAGUAGGAUUACAGGUCUCAGCUUUUGGCAGAAAUAACUCCCGAAAUAGUAGGUCCUUCUCUCAAAAGGGAGAGCAAGAGACCUCCAGCUGUCAGACCCAACCAAGUGUCAGGGUAGAGCAGUGGCUACAAAAAACAGUGUAACUGCACCAUAUUUACACUGCCAGAGAUGUGUUCUCAUUUGGUAUUUACAGCAUUAUCCAGGGUGGAAUGGCAAAUUUGCUAGGUGCUGCACAAAACAUUUAACUGGAAAAAGUUCCUGCAUCCAAAAGCACAACAAAAAUGAUUGAGGAAGGAGAGUGGCAAACAAUGGGAUAUCCUGAGAAAAAAAGUGCACCAGUGAUUGCAGCAAAGGCAGCCAGCUAUGAAGGCUUUUCCUACACACAAGGUAACAAUAAUUCUGCUAAGGAGGCAAGUUAUUUCCUUUUUAGCUAUGCUAUUUCCACUGCAUUACUGAAUCAUGGUUUGUUAAUAGCUUACAGAAGUUUAAGUUUAAAAAGCUUUAGAAACUUUGUCAUACCUAAGACAAUACGUACCAAUUUAUCAAUAUCUAUAAAAAUACAUAAUCCAAUAGGUUUUGGGCUUGUGGUUGUCAGGAUUGGGUUUUUUAAUGCCUUUAAUAAAGAAGGGAUAAUUUUGGUCUUGUUUUUGUGUUCUUAGAAGACUCAGAAAGGAAUAUAAUGGGUAGUCCCAAAAUCUGUAUCUAAUUGUUGAUGGCAAACUAGAAAAUAAAAGAUGCUUCAAAAUAGUGCCAGUCUUUUAAUCUGCUCUGUAGUUGGAUGAUAGAAUGUCAAGCAUUUUCACCAAAAGCACAAGAGCCAUUACAGUCUUUUCAAUUUUGAACUAUGCAAUUAUAGCCUCAAACAGGUCAUGGAAGGGUUCAGCCUUCCCCAUGUUACCGCUCUGGUCAGAUGGCAGCUCCAGCCAAAAGGAAAGAAGAAAAGAGGACAGCCAUAGCCACCUGGCAGUGCCUUUUUGCACAGCAAAAAGCAGGCAGGGGAGGAGGGACCUGGUACCCAGCCAGGUGUGGCAGCACUUCGAAACCAGGCUGCCAAGCUGGAGCUCAUCCUCUGAAUGGGAUUCUGCAGGGGGAGGCACAGAGAAGGUAACACUGGGGAACUGCUUCCCUUGCAAAGAUCCUGUGUCCCCAUUUACCCUCUCCCAUGAGACGGCCGAACGUGCCCCUUAUUUGGCAGAAAGUGUUCAGCCUGGUGUUGAGUAUGUUACUGUGUCCACCAGUCUGCUACAGAGUCCAGAAAACAUUCAGUUACAGGAGAAUUAAAAGAAGCAUUAGGGAGACUCACAUUACUGACUGAUAACAAACCAUUUUUUCCUAACACCAUUUUUUAUGUACUGUAUCCGGAGUUUAGCUGUGUCCAUUAUUUCCUUCUACUCACUUAUUUCUCCAAAGGUGAUUUUACUUAGAUCAAAUUUCUGCACUGUACUACUGGAUACUAUGGUACAGUUCAUUGCUCUAGAACAAUUUCACUGGUUUAGAAACUCCACCAUAAUGUUUUGCCACUAGAUUUCUCUUGAGAAGUAGAGGCACUGGUUCACAAACACCCCUUCCAAGUCCUUAUGGAGCCUUCCCAAGAGCCUGUGUUACCCUUACCAGGCUUGCAUGCACCGCUAACUCUCUGUGCCCCUGCUCUGAGCCCUUGAGACACGGGUGCUCUGUUAAGACUACAGAGAAAGGAAAAGCAUGGCCGCGAGCAACAGUCAAUCAUUUUAAUGGCUGUUAAUGUAAAAACAUAUUCCUAACCUUACUUACUUACAGCCAGAUACAUGGUAGGAGACAUGGUUUUGCAUGAACCAAUUUAUUUUUUCUUCUUAACUCUUUUGUAUGAGCGAUGAUUUUUGAGAGAUUGUUGCAGUAAUGUUCAGCUGUUAUGAGACUGCUGCUUCACAUUUCUACCAAGACCGCUCAGAGUUAACAUCCAGAAAGAGUUUCCUCUAUUCCAGCAGUAGUUGCUACUGCUCAGAACAACUCUUUAGGUACAAGUUUAAUAGAAAUGGCCCUUCACUAUUUUCCACUACAGCUCAGGUUUUCUGCCUCAGCUUUUGUGCUGCUGUGAGCCUGUACAAAAUGGGAUGCUAAUUUUCAUCCCCCUGCCCUCAGUCCAAGAAGUGCUAUGCAAGAGUAAUUCCAUCUGAUUUCACAUAAUUCUGCACCUAGAAAUACAGGAGUUAACAGUCAAGAAGUUCUUUGGGUACUGGAAAGAUUAACAGGUCUUUCAGUCCUCUUUCAGUGACCACAAGGUACAGGCCUUAUAGACAUUUGAUGAAUGAAGGGUUGCCUCUAAAUGAAAGCAUGGCACAAAGCUCUAGAGGAAAUCAUUGCAGCAAGAUUUUGGGAGUUUGUGAAGGCACCAUGAAAUGGACACACUUUAUGAGGCUACAACAUGUGUGUAGAGGGUAUAUGCAACCUGCUCUGUAUUUCUAAAAUGAUCACCAACAUAUCAUUGGGAACUUGGGCUUCUGAGAGUCAUUUCUCUCUCUGUGCCUUGGUUCCCUUAUAUGAAAGUCAGGAUUAUGUCUUUGGUGCCCCUUGGAUGAACAGAACAAGUUCCCCUCUUAAAUGUCAAGUGUUACAAUCAAUCACAGGUUUACCAUGUCUUUUUCUGCCUAACCAUUUAAAACUAAUAAUAUCAAAAUAAGCCACUCAAAAUUAUUAAAGAUUGCAGAAGUCCCAGACUGUGGAACAUGAAUCUCAGUGAUUUCAGUGUGAUGGAUGGAUGUGAUGCCAGCCUCAGAGAUAAGAAUUAGCUUCAAUGUGAUUUGAAAGAUCCGAGAACUCCAGGGACAAAUGAUUUGUUGUGCAUUUUGUGUUAGAUCAGGAAAGAUCUAUGCCAGUCCCAACACUGUCUAUUGUUCCUCUCCACUUUGAAUAUUUUCCUACGAAUGCUGCUUGCUGCCUAACAAGCUAUCAAAAAAACUACAGACCCCAGCAUUCAUUCUAUGGUUGAAUUUAUUGUGUUUUCCCUCUUAAAGAAUUUUUAUUUUGAAAUAUUGAUGAAAAAUUAUUUGCCAGGUAAUCAGUAAAGGAACUGAGAUAUAAUGCAGUCAUUAUAGUCAUUCUCACAUACAUGGGUCUUCUACAAGUGAUCCUUUCUUACAUAAAUGCACUUAUGCUUAAGGAAGGUUAGAUGCUACAUUUUCAGCAAUUUCUUUCUUUUACCAAGACAGAUAACAUUGGAUACAUAAAGUUCCUCUUUUAUGUGACACUUCCUUUAAAGCAAGUUUGUCCCCUUGAGUAAAUUUUUCCUUGGCUGUGAUGUGAUAUAUAUACACACACACAUCUGUAUCUGUCAUAGAUAUCUACAUUUAUAUAUCACACUUACUCCACUGCAGGAUGUUAUUACUGAUUGGAAAAAGAAAAACAAAAAGGACAAAUUUCUCUACUCAGUGUUUAAGAGUAGUUGGUAUCACCAAAUUCAGAAGUGUGAAUUCCUUUUUUUUUUGCACCUGAAUACACCACCCGCCCGAGCAGCACCUGAUGUCAGUAGCAGUUCAUGUAUGUGUGCAGCUGCCAAAUCUUUUGAUAUCCAGGUGCCACUGGAAACCAUCAUUGGACUACAGUAUUUUUUUCUGACAUAUGUAAAAUAUUCAUUCAAUCAGACUAAAAGUGUUAAACACUUUCUACAAAGACAUGUUGUAAAGAAUUCCAAGUGUCUUUUGAAAAAGGAGUUGCUACCCUGUAUCCUACUAAAAUGCAUACUACUUCCAACAUUUUUCAAGUAGGCAAGAUGAAUAUGGAGGGAGGAGGGAAGAAAAUUAUUCAGAGAAAAUUCAAGUUAGAAAGAGAAAAAAAAUUCUUAUUUAUAGUUCAGAGAUCUGUGCUAUUUUAAUUCCUCAUUUAAAAAACUAUUUUAAAUUAUAAAUUGCAAGCCUAUUGCAGAUAUCUUGCUCUUCUUGCGUGAAUACAAAAAUAUGAAAGAAUAAGGUAAAAGAAGUUAUUAAAUAGUGAUUUAAUUUGUUCAGAAAGCACUGAGUGAUAAGCAUCUGCAUGGAAUUACAUAGCUCAGUUCUACUUGAAAAUUCUCCUAACUGGAGGAAAACAUGCAAGAUCCUCACCCAUUUUAACAGCCGUCAUAAAUGGAUGUUAAACUUAGCAGCAACAGUUCAUUGGCAGCUUCCCAAGACCGGCAUCAAUGUAAGAAUUUGUAUUUGAUAUGAACGGGAAAAAAAAUCAUUUUUAGUGCUGUAUUUGAAUGAAGGUUUGAAAUAAUUAAACACAGUACACCAAAGAUGCCACUCAUGGACAUGAGAACUAUUUCAGGGGAGAGGGAGGAGGGCAAACUUCUCACUGCAUGAUGAAAAAUAUGAAAGUAUUAAGUAGAAAUAUUUCAAGAAAUUAAGGCCUGGAACUACAGCUUUCAACAAAGAAGAUGAUGUCAGUUCUGUGUAUUCCUGCACAAGAAAACCAAAGUGCUGGCUGGGAUUUCUGAGCAUUUCCACAACCCAAACAGUAAGAGGAAGCUGUUCAAAGUCAAGAGUUUCAGUGUUAAUUGCAAUGAAAACAGAUCAGAGCCUUUAUCUUAAUCAGUUACUUAGAAUGAACUGAUACUGAUUUAUCAUCUUUUCUCCCUCUGUGUUUAGAGCCAGAGUCACAAAUUACUGAUGUGUUUUCAAAGUCCCACACAUGAACAAUAACAUGCAAUUCUUGCAAAUAUUUUGAGGGAAGGGAUUGCCUGUAUUUUGCCAGUGCUGUACUUCAGGGUCAUGAGUCACUAAAAAAAUAUGGAGAAAUAUUUAUUUUUGUGCUUUGAACAAGAAGUCUUUUGUGACAGAAUAUAAGAGUGGGGAAGUAGUUUCUAAGUUUAUUAUUACUACUCUAUUUAUUAAGAGUGACAAACUUUGAAACAGUUGAAAUAUUUAGAUGGAAACAUGCCAUUAUCUCCAGUAUUUUCUGCAAAUGUUCAGUCAACAUCCUAAUUGUACUCCUGUCCUAUAUGAUGAAAUGAGCUCCAGCUCUCUCCAUGCAUGACAUAGCAGUAAAAAAGAAAAAAUCUAAAUGCUGUUUAUUCAGCAACUGAAUCUUAGCCAAAAUGAACUAAUAUUUACUAUGGUUAGAGGUAAUUUUACAUAUAUAGUAAGCACAUAAGGCACUCGUAACAUUUGAAAGCCUGAGAUUUGCAUUAUCCUGUAGGCUCUUCUAUUUUUUUAGAUGUAUAUCAACAGAAUUAAACACAGGCAUUUACAGGGAAAAAAAAUUAGUUUUGCUAAGGCUGAGAUAAGCAAAUAAAAGAAAAUAAAUACAAUGCUAAAGUUGCUAAUGAUCUAUUCUCAACAAAAUUCUUACAGUAGCGUGCUCUCCUUUCCUUUCUAGCAAUAUGUAAUUCUCUGCAGGGAUGUCAAGGGGACCAUUCUCUCAAUUUUCCUAUCAAGCCAACAUCUGCUAAAUGCAGCAUGACAUGCUGUUUACCUUUCUUGUAAACUUGAGGCUUUUCCAUUUAAGAAUUGUAUAAAUGAAUCAGUAUUCAUUCACACCUAUGCCUAGAAGUAUCCAUUACAAAGCAGAGAGUGCUCAUUUUUAAUCUCCUCCUUAUUCUGAUUUUAUGCCACAUUCCUUUGCACUGAUGCUGUUUGGAAUUGCCCUACAUAUAUUAACAAAUGCAAGGAAAGUAAAACCGAAAAUAAUGAUGAUGUUCCCCUCAUUUUCUGCAUUUCUUGACAAAGGUGAUAAAAAUGCAGAGGUAAAAAGUGUUGCCAUAUAUCUCCUUUAAACUCAGUAGUUUAACAAAUAGCUACAAAAGAGAAGUUUUGUCCUCUGCUCCAAAAACCAAGAUGACAAAAAUCCCAAACUAUAUAUUUAGAUUUGCCUUCUAAAAUCCUGUGCAAUAUUUAGUAACUUGUAUUUGAUGGCAGAAUUUCCAAGGGAAAUAGUAGGGGGUUGUCUGUUUUGUUUUGAUUUUUUAAAACGUAUGUACAUUUCUCAUCUGCUGAAAGGAAAUCUACCCACAUCAGCAAAAAGCACAGGUGAAAAGACAAAUUAACAGGAAAAAAUGCAACCACCCUUUCUUUAGUGAAUGCCUUUGAAUCAAAGUAAUUUUUAUCAUGCUGCAGAAACUCUCUAUUUGAACAAGCACCCAGUAACAUCACUUGUCCCUCUAAUUGUCUUCAUUACUGAGACAGAAGCAGCCUUUGUUGAUCACACAGAGCAUUCUCUAAAAUCCAUUUUUCCAAUUAGGUUUUUAUUCUCUUUCUUCUGCUUUUAUUUAGUUUUGAGCACAAUUACAUCUAUGCUUGGGUUAACUUGUGGCAGUAAGGCAUUUGCAGAAGCUGUUGCUCUCAGUAACGUUGGCUAUUACUGAUUACAGCUUUGCUCAAGGCAGAUUCCUUGUUCUAAAUGGCAUUGAACAUUUUUACCUGGAUAUUGCAACACCGCAUUAUGAGCGCUGGGAUAUAAACAGAGCAGUAAGCAGUGCUGCUGGCCUCAGGAUUUAAACAAUAAGCCAGGAAACUUGUGUGUGGAGACACAGCUAGAAAAUCGAGCUACCACCAAAGCGGCUGAUGCAAUGUCUGUAUCUUUCUCUAAUUUGCUACUGACCAAUUAUUACAUUCAACUCUGAAUCACAGUCCUAAAUAAUAAAGGUCAAAGUUUUCAUGGA